AAAGGAGGGGUCCCUUUGAUCAAUAGGAGAAAACGGAUCUCUUCUUAAAACCCCGAUGAUUUUAGUGUUUUAAAUGUUUUGAUGUUCUGUUUGAUAUUGGACACACAUAAAUACACGCUGAAUGCUUGCUGUGGAACACUGGGCAGGACAGUUUGGUUCUCCGUGUUCACAGAUUACACAAUUAAAGGAACUAGGUUCCUCUUUUGGUUAAAAUAAUACACCACACAUAGAAUUUUUUUACACAUUUAUUACAUACAUAAGGAGGGUAAUGAGUGACUGCAGGUAAUGUAUGAAGUGUGAAUGAGACGUGUGAACAAGGUGACAACCAACUAGCACCCCUAUCAGGAAGCUCUAGGCAAGGUUACCCGCCAGACUCCGGUUUGGUAGAAGCUUGGUAACACCUGAAGGGAUAUUUCAGUGCUGACUCACCUUUAAAGCAGCGCCCCAGCUGAUUAGUGCCUAACAGAGGCAGAAACCCAGCUGGCCCAAAUUCUCCUUUAAAAUCAAUAAAAGAACACUCCUCCAUUGACAGUAAAAUGGAUGGAGAAUUAGAUCGAGAAACUAAUGAUGAUGGUUGGGGUCCCGGUGUUAUUCUUAGCACAUUGGGAGAACAAUUAACAUGUGUUGAGACAGUCAUCAACUCCACACACCAGCCUAAAGAAGCAAAAAAGCAGAAAGAGUCAUUGAGGAAAACAGCUGAAAGAUGCUUUUAAAUUAGUCAAAAAGUUAGGGGUAACCUCUUCUGGCAUAUGUCUAUGCGGGCCCGUGUGUAAAUAGAACAUAAAUUACCGGUGUGUGUAAAUAAAGUGUAAAAUAGUGGUAUAAACUGUCUGUUGAAUUUCUCCUGAGUGUUGAAAAAAGGAAAAACUCUUUUCUGCUCUCUCUGAGAGAGGGGCUGUGUGUGUGAGACAGGAAGUGUGCAUGCCCAUAGAAGGAAAGAGAUGAGGUAAACUCUGUGCAGAUAGACCGAAGUAAAAAAAAAAAAAAAAAAAAGGAAAAGGGUCUCUCUCUGUCUCUGUGAGAGAAAAAAGGUGGGGACCGAGUGAGCCCGCGGGGCCGAGCGGGUCCGCGGGAGCGAGCGUGUAUGCUGUAUGAGGAAGAAGGGAGUGAGAGGGAGCGAGUGAAAAGAGUAAUCGAGUAUUUGGUGAUUUUUUAUUAUUUCAGAGGCACUGGUGUCUUCAUACAGGUGUUUUUUCUUAACCUGGAAGCCUGAGUACGGCAGCAGAAGACAGGCCAAGCUUUGGCUAAAAUUCACGGCUGGACACCAGAGUUGUCCUCACCCCUCCCGGUAAAACAAAAAAGAGAGAAUGUAGUUUGAGGCGGGUUUUUCUUGCUGAACCGCUCUGGGUGCUGUGUCCCUGAAUCUCACCGGUGUUAACCUCUGGCGGAAGACAUGGAGAAAAGGAAAAGAUGUUCCUGGUAAAUCACUGAAACAAAUAAAACCACACACAACCAGAGAAAGAUAUGAGAAGGGUGAGGAACAGACACAUGUGCGUGUUAGAGACAUGCCUCGUUUGAGAAAAAGUUAAAGUAACCCAUAUACAGACGCACCCAUACAUGCAAUGAAGAAACAGCUUACAUACAUGUGCACGUACAUGCAAGGUUAAAGUAGCGACACUUAACAUACACCUGUUUUUAAAUGAUAUAGUUUAUACAUUACUGACAAUUAAACGCUUUGGGUUGCAGGACAACAACGUAACGUUAAAAGACAAAGACACUGGUCUGAGGAUUAAGUGAGGACACGACAAAUUUAGUGGUUAAAAGGGUCGACUUGGGACAUGUUUUUGUUGAUUGUUUAAGACAAAUGACUACUGAAUGAUAGGAAAUUCCUUUUUAGGUUUCUAAACAGGAUCUUAAGAAUUUUGACACGUACCUGUGUUGUCCUGUCAACUUGAGGGGUUAUGAGUUGAUUAUAUGGUGAAAAAAAAAAAAAAAAAAAAACAAAAACAAAAAAGGGGGGAGACGAGAUCUCGUUGUUUCUCCCCUCUCGGGAUAACACAGCCAACACAGCACAGCCAACACAACAUCAUUUUCCUGUUCGCCUGUUUUGUUUUGUUUUUGUUUUUUCUGAGAGCCGAAGCUGACCUGGACUCCUACCCUCCCCUCUACCAUCGUUGCCCUCUCCGCGACCAUCUUUGACCCUUUGACCCCUGAAGGCCACAGCAGCUGGACUCACAACAACAACUUGAGGAUGUCAACAGUGCUGCAAAAGAGUGAUCUCAUGCAGCAGAGACGGAGAGCACUAAACCUAAAGCCCGUUUCACUACACGGGGGAAAUUCCCAGGCUGCGUCAGCUGACAGAGCUGUGACGAGACGCGCAUUAAGCCCGGAGGAAAAGGGACGGUGAGCAGAAGGAUGCUGACCUCUGAGAAGAGCCGAACAGCAGAGCUGCAGAAGGCCGUGGAGCAAAGUAAGGAAGAUGCAGGCAGCUGCAACAACGGAUGAAAACAGACCCAAAGAGGAGGGGAGGACCCUAGGCCAUGCGUCAGGCCGCUGGUUUACCUAAACUACAGAACAGAAAGCUGUUACUGCUUUCAUCGGGAACCGAGACUGCUUGCAGCCGACCCCUGGGCAGGGUGGUGCCUGGACUCUUUUCUCCUCAUCUGCAAUGACAGAUAAAGACAAAUGAAAAGACCCGAGGAGUUUUUCGAGCCAGGCUUCGACACGUCUCUGUGUUCCUUUGAUUGUUACUUAUUUUUGUGUGUUGACCCAUUUAAGAUGGGUCAAAAGGGGGAUUUGAAGAAAAUAUAAUCUGAUCAAACAUUAUUCAGCUUUAAAUAUUGUUCAGCUUUAAACAUUAUUCAGCUUUAAAUAUUGUUCAGCUUUAAACAUUAUUCAGCUUUAAAUAUUGUUCAGCUUUAAACAUUAUUCAGCUUUAAAUAUUGUUCAGCUUUAAAGUUACUGUGCAACUGUGUAAUAAAAAUGUGCUCACGACUUUGGCCUUGAGAGCGAUAAGAAGCGAUCGCCUCAUCCUGCAGGUGAAAGAUAUCUGCAAGCGAAGAGACUAGAACACCCAAGGCCGCUUUCCUUUUAUGGAGUUGUUUUUCUGC
ensembl:lncRNA